UCCUCAUUCCACAUUUUCACUACUCCUCUGAACAUUGUGCCUGAGUUUUCUAUCCCCUUUUUCUCCGUUUGCUUUACAUGUACACAACCUGAUAUUUCAAAUUUCAAAUUUUGAAUUCAAAAUCAAAAUUAAGAAAGGAAUUCUCUCCAUUCGUUGUUUUCAGUUUUAUUUCUUCCUCCUCUUCUUCGGUUCUUCUCCUUCACCUUCUUCACCUUCAGUUCCUCUUCCUUUUUUCCUCCUCCGUUCACUGAUUCUGUUUUUGUAUAAUCUUCUUAAUUUAAGUUGGAGGUGGAGAUUAGACGUCAUGUACGCACCAAGGCAGAGUUACGGCGGUGGAUGAGGUUGCGACUGCUAUGGUGGUGGAUCAUAAUAUGGCGGUGGUGUUGUAGUGGGUGCAGUGGAGUUUGUGGUGGUCAUCGAGGAUGUGGUGAUAGAUACGGAGGAGGCAGCGGCGGAAGAGAACAAAUCGAUGGAAAGUACUAAGUCGCGCGGCCACAUAGAACACAUGCAGUGACACUAUGAAAGAGAGCACAACAGGGAAGUAGAGGAAUGAAGUAGAGACACGACAUGGAGGAGCGAGAGAUGCAUACUGGCGUCUACAACAAUGGGCAUGCAAUUUGGUGCGGCUGAGAUGAUUCGGAUGGCGAUAACACGGCACGGAAGAGAAGUCAGUUGCAGCACCGGAAGCGACCAGCAACGGUCUUGGUGCGAUGAUUCUGUAUGCUCUGCUUAUACGCGUCUUUGUCUGGUGUGGAGCUGUUGAUGCAGAAAAUCCAGAACCUCAUUGUUGUUGCCAGGAUUCUAUUUGCAUUUCGCCUAAAUUUCAUUAACCUCUUUCCCUCUUAUAUUCAAUUUACAUCCAAUAUAGAAAACCAAAUCAGAUUUCAAAGUAAUGCAGCAUGAAGUAUUCAUUUUUCCUUUAGUUUUUGAUGUCUUGGCUUUUGUAUUUUCAGAGUAAUUUAGGAACUAAGGCAAAAGAAGGUCCUGCUGUGUAGCUACUGUGGAAGGCUGUCUUUAGAUUGACACAACUUGAUAGAGUAGCGGAGUAUUUAUCACGUCAUAUUAGGGAGCAUCAUGAAUAAUGAGUUGGUUGAUAUGGAUUCUAUAGCAUAGCCAUACCAACAUCGCUCACUUUUAACCUUACAACUUCAUCUAAUACUUUUAGAAGGACCCUGAAGGUGAUGGGAGUUCUGCUGUGCACAUUUAUUGUAAAGAAUUGAAUAACCUCAUGUUGGAUGUUUUGAAAAGAGGGCCGAGAAUGAAGGAAAAUGGAGUGUUGGUAUCUGACAAGACCAUGUAGAGGAAGCUGCAAAAGUUUUGGAGCCACUAAGGGCACCCAACUCUUAUACUAAGAUAAUUUUCAGCAGUAGGAGUUUUGGCUUGAAGCUGCUCGCAUUGUUGAAUUCCAUUCAAAUGUCAAUUAAGGAUUAAUUGAAGGAAGUAGACCUGUUAGAUUUUAUUGUUGGUAAGCUGGACAGAAGCUCUUGAAGUGAUGAUUAUAUUCCCUUUUGUACUAGAAGAUUAUGUUUGAAGUUAUCUUAGCCUGUUUUUCAUGAUCUAACCAAAGAUAGAGUGGUAACUUAUAAUAUGCAGUCAAACUUUUUUAAGUAGUUCUAUUAUUUUAAAUGUUUUA